UUAUAAAAAAGAUCUAUUUACGUUUAUAAUUUAUUUAAAAGAAAUAUUUGAUAUCUUUUUGUUUUUAAAUCUCCGCAUUGCGUCAUGUUCUUAUCGGGUUAUUUAAAAAAUUCUCAUAGUGAAAUAUAGAGAGCGGAUUAAAUUUUCAUCCUCCUGGCGCAGUGCAGUCUAGAUAAGGAUAUAGAAUAAACAUAACAACGAGACAAUAUUUCUCCGUUAUUACGCGAUAAGAUAAUGAGGAAAUUAUGCGCAGAGUGACUUCGAUACAUAUUAUUUGAAGGAGUCAUAUAGAGACUUAUUUGUCCUGGAGAAUAAAGCGGAGAGUAAAAGCGCGCGGUGAUCUUAAAAAAAUUGUGCAAAUCGUUUUCGGUGAGUUAACGUGAGAGUUCAGUUUGCAUGUGAUAGUCGUCUAAAUAAAAGGCGGAAAUAAAAGUCUAACUAAUGGACGAAAUUAUCUCGUCUGCGGGACUCGCGACACGUUUUAUUAUGCGCGGGCACGAACGUGUAAGCGGAACAUGACGCACUCGGAUUCCUCUCCGAGCCAAUUUGAUCAGUAACAAUGCCGCGACACACGAUACAUCGGGAUCGAAUAAAGCCGCCGAUUAAUCGGAAGCCGCGGAUCGAUUAAACGCACCGUCGAUCCCGGAGAUCCGAGUACGGAGCGCACUCGUCGGCGACACGCGAUAUCCUGAAUUUUCCGCACCUCACUCGCGCCAAUCGUCGAUUAAUUUAAAGCCGAUGUAACGAACGAGGUUUGUUAAUCUUGCAAAAUCACGCGUGAGGAAUUAUAGACGGUUAAAAUAUAUUUUUGCCAUUAUAUGAAACUUAAAUGUCAAGCUAAAUCAAAAUUGAAAUCUUUAUGAAAUGAAAUUAAAAUUGUGUCGCCUAUUUUUCGUACUAUUUUUUGGUAUAUUAAAAAAAUGUUUUGUAAUAAAGAAUUGUCAAACUAUAAAGUGAGAAGUUUUAUUUUUAAUCAAAUGUUUUUAAGUAAUAUGGAAUGCUGAAAACAAUAAUUAUUCGUUGAAUGUUAGGAUAAAAAUAUUGGUAAAAAGAUCUCUCAACGUAUCGGCAGGUAAAAGCUAUUAUUAUCGGCAGCAGUGAUGAUAGCGGAGUUAUUUAUAUACAGAGUUAUAAUUCCGUAAAAAAAAAUACAUUUAUCUUUCGACUUUUAAAAAUAUUUUUCUUCUCGAUAAUAACAUUGUCGUUGUUUUUGUUCGCGAAAAGUUCGUUGCACAAUUAUACACGCUACGAAUUAUCGAUGAGAUUUAAUAUAUGCUAGCUGCAAAAUUGAUAAACAAUUCUAAUAAAUCGAACAGACGACGCUAAUAUGGAAUAGUUAUCGGGAAUUUUUGUACGCGAGAAAAUUUUGGGGAACUUUGCGUGAACUCGCAAAGAUAGCAAAUCUAAUCUAAUCACGUAUCUGAAAAUUUAACGCUUAUCGGUCUUACGUAAUAAUUAGGCACGCACAACUGCCGGUCAUAACAAAACUAAACUACGCUGCGUAUCGUCUUUGUUAGUUCCCUCCAAAUAUUUUUUUAUUUGCGAAUUUCUUUUGAGAUUUCUCCGAAGUCUGGAAGAAGAGAAAUAUUAGACAGACAAGUCAUUAUUCUAAUACAUUUUAGACACAUCGAUGUUCUUUUAUUAUCGCAAGAAAAGAAACGAAAAUUUCACCGUUUCAACCGGUCCGAUUAAAUUGAGAUUAUAUGACCUCGGUGCGAUGUUCUAGGAUUCCUUUCGCAUAGACGGAGAACUGCGCAGUUUUGCUUGGUCCGAUGUGAGGGGGGUUGACCGGAAUCUCUCUCUUUCGCGCGCGACUCCGUGAAUAUGAUCCUGGCAGCCGACCAGGACUUCAUUUUAAGCAUCGACGGUCUCCGGCCACAUUCCACGCCGUAAUUCCGUAGCAGCUCCGCCACAAAGAGGCGCGGCGUCUUCUUAUUCCGCCGUCGUGGUCAGGCAUUUUCUUGAAGAGUUUUUUUUUUUUACAUUUUACUCCGCCAUACCCUCGCUUGACAAUAAUUUCUCUAGCGGAAAAUCUAGUGACUGAGAUGCGCUUAAGCUGCUCAUUAGAUAGAUUUGUGUAAUUAUAGAAUUAACUUCAGUCGAGCGACCUAAAAAUCGAAGAUGUCGAUAAAAAAUUAAAACUUUUUAUAUUAUUUUUCAGGGAAAAUCCGAAAACAUACCCAAGCCAUCGUAUAUAAACGUAUAAAGAAAAAUCUAACUUUGGAGCGAUUGUUAAUUAAGGUGUUUAAUUUAAAUAUAAAUAUUUAUGUAAUUUUGCUACGUAAUGUAAUUACGACGUCGAAAAAUUAUCCGAGUUUUACAUGAUGAAUAAAUAUUAGAAAUUAAAAGGACUGUGAUUAAAAAUUUAUGCGUUGUCGCAUUUAUAUGAUGUAAUUUUAAUUCAGUGGAAUUUAAUGUUUAAAUAUGGCUGCAGAUAAAAUUAAAUUUACUCUUAGUAUAUUUUGAAUGACUGGUUUUAAAAAAACACUUCGUUCAGAGGGAAAGAGAUUUAAUGAGCCAUUGUUAUGAACUGUUAACGCAAUAUUGAAAAAUAUAAAAAGCCAGGUGUCGCUCGCAUAAUGUCGAGCAUGUUUUGUUCCUGACGUAGCUCGUAGGCGUGAACCUAUCGGACUCCCGGUGGCCGUCAUGAAUUAAAUGAUCGUGUAAACUCCAGUAGAAAUAGCCUCUACUGAUCCGGAAAUAGAGUAGAGCGUAGUUCGUAAGAUUCGAGACACGCUGAUUCUGUGUUGACACGAGUCGAUAAGACGCCCACUGAUACUGUAGGAAAAUAAAGCGAGAGACACGCGGGCAGGCAGAGAGAGCUUGCCGGGAAGCCUUCACCUGAAACUGCUCCUUUCCGGUUUUGACGAGCUCAAAACAAGCGUGUGUCACCUUGCUGUGCGACGUGAUAUUUUACGACACGCCUGUUUCUCCGAGUCUUUAUGCUCGCUCGAACUCGAAAUAUCCGAUUCUCACCAAAUUUAGUCUAAAUAAUAAGACGCGCACACGCGAAAUGUUGACAAUAAAAUUUUCGCGGUUUCGCACAUCCCCCAUUCGCAAUCUUCUCGUUCGGAUUCUCGUUCUCUUCAAACAAAAUUAUUUUUGCCAAAAAUAGACACGGGAUAUUAUCAAGCGGUCCAAUUUUUAUUUGUAUCACUCUUUAUGUUUCUCUUUACGCAUAUUUACAGUUUAAAUUACUCUUCAUACGUAUUUUAUGUAAUUCAACGACAGUAUUCGAGCGAACUUCUUUUUUCUUCGCAAACUUCUUUUUCUUUCUCGUCAUAUUUUCACAUCUCUUGAAAAUGCGUGUCCUCGAAACUCUCACAUCCAGUAUAAAUACCACGUUUAAUGCUAUAAGUUAAGAAAAACACAGAGAUUCCAUUAACUUAAAAAGAAAUGAAACAUGCAAGAUUGAAAGUCUCAGGAGAAUCAGAAGGGAAGCAAUUUUUUGCCCGGAUCGUUUCGAUUCGUCGUUGAAUGAUGGACGCGAAAUAAAUUACCUUACAGAAAGAAGAAGAGAACGACUGUGAUAAAGAAUACGUCGCAUACGGUCGACUUGCCGAUUCGCGAGGAAAUUAUCCGGAAGAGUAAUCCGCGUGUCGCUGAUAAGGCAACAUUUUUAACAAACGCGGGGUGCAAACGCGAACGAAUGCAUUUAAUGCGCGACCCGUAAUCGCAAGGUUAUCACACGCGGAGUAUAUGUAUAUCACUGGCGCGGCAUUAAUUACAUCAUUCAGUACGCGGCACGAUUCGCAACUUAUCGGACGGAGCGAUAGCGCCUUUUUGUGUCCCACGAUCAUGGCCUAAUCAGUCGUCCGUUAAUUAUCAGGCGUCAAUAUUUCCGAGGAAAUACACUAUACUGCUAAAAUAGACCGCGAGUCUAAUUAUAGUGACACUUGAAUAACCGUCAUUGUUUUACUCUGUCGAUUUUUAUCGAAGUCUAACGGUCGACCUCCUGUCGAAGUCCUGCACUGACAAUAAAAUCUCGAUAACGAAUAUCUUGGCUAACAUUUGCGAGGGAUAAGGCGAUAAUAAAAGAACAGAAAACGAUGAAUCAGUUGCACAUGAAUGUGUAUUAUCAUCGUCUGUCGGUUGUGCUCUUCCGUCGUAGGCAGCGGUCCAAGCCUGACGUAACGUUUCCUAAUAGAUUUCAUCGGACUUUAACCAAACCUGGCACGAGUGGCUAAAGGAAACAUUCGCUUGGAAAAAGCCAGUUUCAAUACAAGACACGCAUCCGUGCUGUAGCGUAAAUACGAGUAGUGCCACCAUUUCUCUUGCGACAAAAAACUAAGAAAUCGACGGAAUAAUUGACUGAGAAAUCAGGCAAUAUUCAUAAAUUCUGUUUUCAAAGCUGCAAUUAUAUACACAAAAAUAAUAUGUUUACAUUUAUUUGUACCACAAAUUUUAAUUGGCAUAAUUUCUCUUUAGAAAGCAAAAGUACUUUUUUAUAAGAUAUAACUCUAAUUAUUAUAUAAUUAUUAUAUAAUUUCAAAAUUAUUAUCAUUGUACUUAAAUAUUUUUUUGUUAAGAAAGUUUCAAAGUUAUAUAAAGGAUUAUAACAUAUCUACUAAUUAUGUGAUUUUUUUAUGCAAAUCGUUUCAAGUGUUUAAUUUCAAGAAAAUCAAUGGUGACUUGUAGAAACAAGGAAUAGGGAAUAGACCUUACAUUAAUUACUUCGUAACUUGCUCUUAAACGUUCCUAAGUUCGUUUGUAAGUUUUUAUCGCACCGACAUAACUAUAUGUCGCUCACAACGAAACGAAAUUUUCCCCGGUCGUAAUCGUAACGGCACAAAGAAGUCAAAGGAUUUUGAGAGAUCGGAGAAUGAAGUAUUGUCGGAUUCUAUUUUUUUUGCGCUAUUUUUGCUCUUUUUGAAAAUGUCGACAAUUAACACAUCACGAAGAAACGAUUACGAGAAAUAUGCGGUCGUAAAUCGCACAAUCAUAACACUGGCUCCCUUUCAGUAUCCUGUUGUGAGUAUGCUGACUUUGAAACGUAGCAUGGAAAAA